rnacentral:lncRNA from 1 species
CCGGUAUAAAGCACUUGAACCAUGACCUAGAGAUCUUGCUUGUUUGGUGUACGAUUCGUUUUUUAAAACAUUGGUCUUAUCGCCAAUUGUAAAGUACUUUUUCUUGUUCAUAGGUUCUAGAAGAUGGAGUUCUUGAUCCUGAGACGACCAUAGUUUCUAUAUUUCCAUCACCUAUGCAUUAUGCAGGUCCAACUGAAGUUCAAUGGCAUGCGAAGGCACGAAUAAAUGCCGGCGCCAACUUCUAUAUUGUUGGUCGCGAUCCCGCUGGUAUGGGUCAUCCAACUGAGAAACGGUGUUGUAAAUCCGGCUCAACUAAUGAACCUUCACACCAAUGAGAAUAAACCAAUGAUGUGUGGAGCAAGUGAUAGAGAUAAUCUAUGAGUGCAAAUGGCCUCCAAGCUAACAACAACAAAACAGCCUAAGCCUAAUGUAUAGCAAAACCACACUAAGAGCUAACAAGCAUACAAGAUAAACGAUAAAAGGAAAAGAACAAACACCGAGCAAGAUUGUUGACCCAGUUCAGCCAAUGUGGCCUAAUCUGGGGGAGAGAGCAGCUCUCCAAUCCAAUAUGUGAAUGUGUUACAAAAGAGUUACAAGAAUCUAGCUUUUCAAGCUUUACACAUGAACAAACCCUAGACCUACCCUUUGGUAUUUUCCCACCCUCACACUAUGAACCCAUAAUCCCAAGGUGAUUACAAUGUUGUUUUCCCAACCUAAGAAACACUCUCAUCAAAGGAACACACCCCAAAGGAUCCCCAUCUUUGAUCUCCAAGUUUUCUCUCUUAAGCUCUCUUAAGGUUUUUUUCCAAAAAAAGCACAAGAACACUUUAAAUACUAGUCCUGCCCUGAAGAAAUCGUGCCACGAUUUCCCUAGAUCGUGUCACGAUCUGCAACGGUCCCCAGGUUGACCAGUCCUUAUCAGAGAUACUUAACCAGCAAGUUUCUGAAUCGUGUCACGAUUUCCCAAGAUCGUGCCACGAUUUUGCUUCCAGCAAACUUGGCUCAUGGCAUCUCCGAUCGUGUCACGAUUGCCAAAUCGCGACACGAUUCCUCUGUUUUUCCAAACCACAAAUUUGAAGCCAAUUUUCAACAAACGGGACUUGUAUGACCCUGAUCAUGGAAAAAAGGUGCUUAGCAUGACUCCUGGUCUCGAGAAGCUUAACAUUUUGCCUUUCAGGGUAAGUAUUAUUGCUUUUGCACAUGAAUUUAGGUUCCACCUCUCUAAAAUAUGUUCUUUCAAUGAUAUUUUCUUUAGUCAACCGUAUAAACAGAUCCAAUUCAAACUGCACUUAAACUGAUCCGAUUUCUUGAAGAAAGAAAUCUGAGCCGAAUCACAUUCUGUUAUAGUCUUUGGAUAGGAUGUGUUUCUGGCUUAGAAUUGAUCAAAACUGAACUGCAAACACCUCUAUUCUUCAUAAUGAUGCCCAUUUUUCUUUUGUACAAAGUUUCAUUGAAGUUAAUACUUUAUCAUUCAAAAAAACUUCUUAAUGAUAUACACAUCAUGUCUCUUAAUGUUUGUUUCAUUUUAAUGAUUUACCUUGUGUGCCAUUUUAUAUUACAGGUGGCAGCUUAUGACACUAAGGUAAACAAGAUGGCAUUUUUCGACCCUAGCCGUGCUAAAGAUUUCCUCUUUAUAUCUGGAACCAAGGUAUUAUAUUAUCAAUUGUUCUCUAAUAUGUUUCAGAACCAAUCAACCAAAAAUCUAAACUUCGUCAUGAAUAUUAUCACAAAUAUAUAGUCUGUGUUAGGUUUACAAUGACAGAUCUUAAAAAUAAUUUCAACAAAAGUAACUUGUAUCAUAUAUUAAUAUGUUGGAGCUGGGAACUAUAAAAAUACAUAUAAAGUUUUUAUGCGUUUAUGUUAAAAAUUAUAUGAGGAUUGAUUCAAAAUUAUGUAAAAGACACUGGUUCCUGUUUAUGUAACUUAUUUUCUUGUUAGAGAUAUAACCUAAGAAGCACAAACACACCUCUCCAAAGUGUCGUGUUGGCGUGUCAUACACAUUUCGGACACCGUCACUUCUUGGACACACCUUGAAAACAUGUCAGACACCUCUUAAAUAAUUCCAAUCUAAAAAACUGUUAGACAUGUCUUGAACAUGCACCAAGAAACCGGGCCGACACUUGGUCAGGGCCCUUAAGAUCGAAUUUCAUUAUAUAACUUUUUUACUAGAUGUAACAUCAAGUUGUUUUCUUUUGUGAUUUAUUUUUUCAGAUGAGGUCUUAUGCAAAAAGUGGAGAGAAUCCACCAGAUGGAUUUAUGUGCCCAAGUGGAUGGAAAGUUCUUGUCAAUUAUUAUGAAAGUUUGCAGACAGAAGAAGCAUCACAACAGCCUGUGUUAUCUUCUUAGACAUAACUACAGCUACUGCUAGAAGUUUUUGCAUUAAUUGAUUCUAGAACAAGAGUGUUAAGAGUAAAACUUAGGGAGUGCCAAUUUUUAUGCAUGGUCUUCCAACAUCAUGAUCAAGAAUUCGGCAAUGCGCAAGCAUAUUUGAAAUUUUUGUAACAUACUGAAUCAUGGUCAUCCUCUAAACAUGGUAUUAUAAUGAUUAUCGUCAUACUCGCUUUUGUAAAUAAUUCCUAUAUCAUAACAUAUAUCUUUAUAGACAACAAGUUCGGUGUCCUCCCCACACCCUUUGGCACAAGGUAACACACAAACACACAUAUAUAAGGACAAAUCUAGAAAUAUUGAUUAAUGAGCGUAAUAACAUGUACAUUAAUUUUUCGAGUGAAAUCAUUUACGAUAAAUAUUUACAUAAGAAUAUAAUUAUCAUUAAAAACUCAAACACUACGAAAAUUAUUCAUUUUAUAUCGAAAAAUUUAAAUACACCAAAAGAUCUACGAAAUAUAUUUCUUCAUUGGUCUUAUGUUUUGAAAUUAUGUUUUUUUUUUCUUUUCAUUUUCAACAUUAUUGAAUUAUUUCUAUGUACGUGUAAAACCAAUUAUUCGAUAAUUUAACUCUUAUACCCCUUUCCAAAAAUAAAACUCUUAUACCGUUUCAUAUUUUUUUCUUCAAAAAUAAAAUUAUUUAGCAACAUUCUUUUUUUUUUAAGAAAUCAAAAUGGAAUUAUAUAACACACCAAACAUUAGUUCUCAAGCACAAGGUGUGCCUAGGAAACCACUAAAAGUUACAAGAGUUUAAAGACUACAACAACCAGAGAUAACACUAGUUAGCCAAGCCUAAACAAGCAAAAGGGUCUGACCACCAUCUCUGCAUACCAUAAACAAACACAACAUUUUUAGCUUUCAGCCACCCCAAAGAUAACAAUUUAACCUUAUCUAACAAUUGAUGGACAAGAUUAACGGAAUUAUUGAAAAGACGGUUGUUACGUUCACUCCACAAAACCCAAGAAUACAAAAGUCAAAUAAGCUGUAAGAACGAUCUUUUUGCUUUACCAACACCUGCCAAAUGAGUAAAGUGCACCAGAUGAUCUGUAAUGAUAAUAGGGUACACUCCUAAAAUACCAAUCCAAUCACGCACAACAUUCUAUAUGGGCAAAACUUAUUUUUAACUGUAAAAAAAAUACAAUUACUCAGACAACUUUAAAUAAAAUAAUAGAGUAAGUGAGGCAAGUACCUCCAAUUACAUGAUCGUGCAUUCGUGUCUGAUUACAUCACUACAUAAAGAGAUAUAGUCUUUAACAAAGACUCAGUCUCUUUUCAAGUACUUUUGAUUUUGAAAGUUAAGUACUUUGAAAAUAAAUCUCUUGAUUUCUUUGAAAAAUUAACGAGUAAAUAGGCAAAAAAACCCCUGAAAUUGUAGCUUUCGUCAAAAACCUCCCUGAUUUUUAGGAAACUUCAAAAAGCCCCCUGAAAUUGACAAACGUUAGUCAAUCACCCCCCUCCAUUUGUUUUGGCUGUUAAAUGACUUUUUUUUUUUUUUUGCUUUCUUCAUCUUCUUCCUUCCACUUUUUUCAUCAUCUUCAUGAAUAUUUAUAAAAAAUCCAGAAAAAAAAUUAAGAAACAACAACCAUUAACAUCAUCAUCAUCUCAUUACUAGCUUCUCUUGUUUGUUGCUCAUUAUUGUUAUCCAAAAGGGUCGUAGCAGAAAGAUCAAGAGACAAUUGAUGAUGAUGAUCAUUGUUGUUGAUAAUCUCAUCGCUGCUCCAAAAAGGAAAUCCAUUUGAAUGAGGGUUCAAAAGUGAUUGAUUCUGAAGAGGAGACAUGAGUGAUGAUGGAACAAUAUGAGAAUGAGAAGAAACAUUGAUGUUGAUGUUGGUGUUCAUGCUAUUCAUCAUAACCCUUGUUCUUUUUCCAACAAGUCCACGAUCUUUUCUGUUAUUCAUUUUGUUGUUGAUGAAUUCCAAAGGGUUGUUGUUGAUUAAUUCAAGAAGGUAACAAACAAGAGAGAGAGAGAGAGAAUCAUUAGAAAGUGUGUGAUGUUGAUGAUGAUGUUGUUGUUAAUGGUUGUUGUUUCUUAAAAUUUUUCUGGAUUUUUUUAUGAAUGUUGAUGAAGAUGAUGAAAAAAGUGGAAGGAAGAAGAUGAAGAAAGCAAAAAGAAAUUAAAAAAUAGUCAUUUAACAGCCAAAACAAACGGAGAGGGAUAAUUGACUAACGUUUGAUAAUUUCAGGGGAGUUUUUGAAGUUUCUUAAAAAUCAGGAAAGUUUUUGACGAAAGUUAUAAUUUCAAGGGGGUUUUUGCCUAUUCCCUUGAAAAUAUAUAAAAACAAAUAAAAAUGAAAAUAUUAAAAGAUGUCGUUAAUGUAUAUCUAAUGUGGAGUCGUUGUAUAGAUAAAAGUGGAAUUAGCGUUUUUCUUUCUUAUUUCUACAUAAAGAGAUAAAGUCUUUGUAUAGAUAAAUAUGGAAUUAUUGUUUUUCUUUCCUAUUUUAAUUGUGAAAUCCGUUUAUUUUAUAUAAAGAUAUUUUUCUUUAGGAAAAUGUUAACUAUGUCUUAAAAUACUAGUUAAGAAGUAAAUAUAGUAUGUAUUGUAUUGUAAAUUGUGUUCUAAUCCCUUAAAAGUUAAUAAAGUGUCUUUUUCAAUUUUUUUUUUCUUAACCCAUUUUCUUUAAUAGGUUGAACUUCAUAUCGGGUAAAUGACUCCAAAUUAAACAUGCUUUAACCACGUUCUUUAACAUUACUAGCAUUAUUUAUUUUUACAUCUGUUUAUAUAUUUACAAGGUUCAUUUUCCAAAGCAAUCAAAAGAUUCAUUUUCAAAAGUACUUAAUUUUCAAAAUCAAUAAUAUUCUCACCCUGCUCCACUUUUCAGUCCCAAUUCAUAUUUUGAUGCAUCUUUUUGGCACCAUUAUGGUCCCACCAAUACAAAUUGCAUCUUUUAAAGCAUGCAUGCACUACCACACUUUUCUCAUCCACACAAUCAAAAAAAACAUGAUCAUAGAAAACCACUUCUUGUGAAUCCAAUCCAACAUGUUCGCCAUAGUCAUAGGUGGUUGUUAUUAUUAUUAUGUCACAUUGAAACAAUUCAACAACAUUAGUACUAUUGUGUUCUGUUCCCCCACGUUCUUCUCUUCUCUCUCUCCAACACCAUAACCAUCAAUUUCCCAUAAUGUCUCUAACCAUUAAGUUACAAUUAGUUUCUCAUCUUAACAUCAAUCACAACAAUAACCAUGCAAACAAAUUAAUCAAAAUCAAAAACAACACUUUUGGUAACACUUUAAACUUUCUUCCAAAACCCACUUUUGGUAACAAUUCAUUAACUGUUACUAAAAAGUCUAAUAAUAAAGUUAAGAGAAGAAUGCAAGGAAAUUUCAUGAUCAAAAGCUCUUUGAUAGAACCAGAUGGGGGUGUAUUAGUAGAUCUUAUGGUGCCUGAAAAUGAAAGAGAGUCCAAGGUACUUGAAGCUAAGUCACUUCCUAAUGUGAAACUAACAAAAGUUGAUUAUGAAUGGGUGCAUGUAAUUGGUGAAGGUUGGGCUAGUCCUUUGAAAGGUUUCAUGAGGGAAAAUGAAUAUCUUCAAAGUUUGCAUUUUAAUUCACUUAGGUUGAAUGAUGGUUCUUUUGUUAAUAUGUCACUUCCUAUUGUUUUGUCUAUUGAUGAUGAGACUAAAGAGAGAAUUGGAUCUUCUUCUAAUGUUGGGUUGAUUGGACCUGAUGGGGAUAUUGUUGGUAUUCUUAGAAGGUUAGUAUAGUCUUCUUCUGGCAUUAGUUUUGUGGUUAAUUGGUGUUUUCUGAUUGAUUAAUUGUUCAAUUGUUAUUAUCAUAAUUUUAAGGGUAAUUGGUAUUUCCUAGUUGAUUAAUUUUUCCAUUUUUAUUAUCAUGGUUUAACCUCAGUUAGAAGGUGAUAAAAGGCUGAGUGCAUGUUUAGAUUGGCGGUAAGUUAGAUGAAAUCAUGGUGAUAUCGUCGUAAUUUUGUUGAAGCUUAAACUGUAGCUUUUGACAAAAUCAGGGUGGGACACCAUGAUUUUGCCAAACUUAUCGUCAAUCCAAACAUACACUGAAUUGAAGAGAAUGUGAGCGUUUUGAUGAACUAUAGUAACUCAUCAUAUAUUACAUGAUUUAUUUUUUCACACAUCUCGCAUGUUUGUUUACAUGCCUACGAUUUUCAAUCUUAUAUGUUGCUUUAACUUGAACUUAUUAAAUCAGUGUGUUUUAAAUUAGAUUUUGCAAUGUUUUAGAAAUUGAACCGGACAUCAAACUGACGAGACCUAUGAGUCAUAGUUAAUGUCUUUAAACUAUUCAAAUUUCAAGCUGGGAUGAAAUCGCAGUUGAAUCACCCAAAUAACCGAACCGGAGGCAAUCUCAGUUCAUGGUUUAACUGGUUGAACUGUCCAUAUUUUAGCACGUUCAAUUUUUGAAUUACAAUGGUUAUGACUAUUUAAGUAAACUCCUGUCAUGGUGUCUCUGAGUUUUCAUUUUUCAUUAACCAAUGAACAUUAAUUUAACUUCUUUGCAGCAUUGAAAUCUACAAGCAUAACAAAGAAGAAAGAAUAGCUAGAACCUGGGGAACAACUGCUCCAGGAUUGCCUUAUGUUGAGGAGGUCAUUGCUCCAGCUGGAAAUUGGCUUAUUGGAGGAGAUUUGGAAGUGCUAAAACCUAUCAAAUACAAUGAUGGUCUUGAUAACUACAGGCUAUCUCCCAAGCAACUUCGGGAAGAAUUUGAUAGGCGUAAAGCUGAUGCAGUUUUCGCCUUUCAGUUAAGAAAUCCUGUGCAUAACGGUCAUGCCUUGUUAAUGAACGAUACUCGUCAACGUCUACUAGACAUGGGUUACAAAAAUCCGAUUUUAUUGCUUCAUCCUCUUGGAGGUUUCACAAAGGUUGACGAUGUUCCCUUAGAUGUCAGGAUGGAGCAACAUAGCAAGGUAAUUUCCAUCAUUUUUUCUCAUAUGGCGUCGAGUAAGAAUCAAUUUUGUUUAAUAUCGGUGCUAUAGAGUAGCGGUUUUUGAACACAUCGCUAUUGCUCUGUGAUACUCUAUUUAGUUCAAACUGUUGUCAAAUAGCAGCUUUAGCGGCGUUGUAGAACUGUUGCGUAGCAGAAUUUGAAUAAACGCGCUAUUUUCCGCGAUCCGCGAUUGACAACACUGGUUAAGAUAAUGUGCAUGUGCCUAUAACAAUCAGUGCUAUAAAAAUUGACCUUGGAAGUGGUUUAACUGCUAUUUAAUUUCAGCUAUCCAUUCAUUUGUAAUUCUUUUAUCCAGUGAGCUUUAACCAGUGUUUCAAAAACUGAAUCUAACCAGAUAGUUCGACCGGUUGAAUUGUGACCAAGAACUGUCUACUGAUUAUUUGAGAAGUUUGAUUGUGGUUUCGACCCGGUAUAAAGCACUUGAACCAUGACCUAGAGAUCUUGCUUGUUUGGUGUACGAUUCGUUUUUUAAAACAUUGGUCUUAUCGCUAAUUGUAAAGUACUUUUUCUUGUUCAUAGGUUCUAGAAGAUGGAGUUCUUGAUCCUGAGACGACCAUAGUUUCUAUAUUUCCAUCACCUAUGCAUUAUGCAGGUCCAACUGAAGUUCAAUGGCAUGCGAAGGCACGGAUAAAUGCCGGCGCCAACUUCUAUAUUGUUGGUCGCGAUCCCGCUGGUAUGGGUCAUCCAACUGAGAAACGGGACUUGUACGACCCUGAUCAUGGAAA